rnacentral:rRNA from 1 species
CCUACGGGAGGCAGCAGUGAGGAAUAUUGGUCAAUGGCCGGAAGGCUGAACCAGCCAUGCCGCGUGAAGGUCAGUGCCCUAUGGGCGUUAAACUUUUUUUGUGCGGGAGCAAUAAUGGUAACGUGUGGCCAGACGAGAGUACCGUACGAAUAAGCACCGGCUAACUCCGUGCCAGCAGCCGCGUUAAUACGGAGGAUUCAAGCGUUAUCCGGAUUUAGUGGGUUUAAAGGGGGCGUAGGUGGUAGGCAAAGUUAGAGGUGAAAUUCUGAGGCUCAACUGUGGAAUUGCCGCUGAUACUGUUCGGCUAGAGUGUAGUUGCGGUAGGGGGAAUUUGUGGUGUAGCGGUGAAAUGCUUAGAGAUCAUAAAGAACACCGAUUGCGAAAGCAGCUUACUAGGCUACUUCUGACGUUGAGGCACGAAAGCGUGGGGAGCAAACAGGAUUAGAUACCCGUGUAGUC